GGUGUAGCUCAGUGAUAAAGUAUAUGCCUGGCAUGCAGGAGGCUCUGGGUUCGAGCCCCAGGACCACCA
rnacentral:tRNA from 1 species